UACGUAGGGGGCAAGCGUUGUCCGGACUUACUGGGCGUAAAGCGUGUGCAGGCGGGCCGCUAUGUGCCGUGUGAAAGCUCUCAGCUUAUCUGGGAGAGGUCGCGGUAGACAGGCAGCCUGGAGGCUCGGAGAGGUCAGUGGAAUUCUCGGUGUAGAGGUGAAAUUCGUAGAUAUCGAGAGGAACAUCGGUGGCGAAGGCGGCCUUCUGGACGGUGACUGACGCUGAGAUGCGAAAGCGUGGGGAGCAAACAGG
rnacentral:rRNA from 1 species